UCGCCUGUUUAUCAAAAACAUAGUUUAGUGAAAAAUUAUACUAAAUGAAUUCUGCCCAGUGUUUUAAUAAAUGGCCGCAGUACCCUGACUGUGCUAAGGUAGCAUAAUCAAUUGGCUUUUAAUUGAAGUCUGGAAUGAAUGAAAUAAUGGAGGAAUGCUGUCUUAAAAGUAUUAAUUUAAAUUUAUUUAAAAGGUGAAAAUACCUUUUUUUAAAAAAAAGACGAGAAGACCCUAAGAAUUUUUAGAUUAAUUUCAAAAUUAAUCUUUUUGUUGGGGCGACAGAUUAGAAAAACUAAACCUAAUUUUUUAAAUUGGCGAAUUUUUUAAGUAAUAAAAAAUUACCUUAGGGAUAACAGCAUAAUGUAAAAUUUUUUAUGUUUGUGACCUCGAUGUUGGACUAGGAACUUUAUGGCUAGCAGUCAGAAAAGAUUUAUUCUGUUCGAAUAAUUUAAUCCU
rnacentral:rRNA from 1 species